GAUGAACGCUGGCGGCGUGCCUAAUACAUGCAAGUCGAGCGAACAGAUGAGGAGCUUGCUCCUCUGACGUUAGCGGCGGACGGGUGAGUAACACGUGGAUAACCUACCUAUAAGGCUGGGAUAACUUCGGGAAACCGGAGCUAAUACCGGAUAAUAUAUUGAACCGCAUGGUUCAAUAGUGAAAGACGGUUUUGCUGUCCCUUAUAGAUGGAUCCGCGCCGCAUUAGCUAGUUGGUAAGGUAACGGCUUACCAAGGCAACGAUGCCUAGCCGACCUGAGAGGGUGAUAGGCCACACUGGAACUGAGACACGGUCCAGACUCCUACGGGAGGGAGCAGUAGGGAAUCGUCCGCAAUGCGCGAAAGCCUGACGGAGCAACGCCGCGUGAGUGAGGAAGGUCUUCGGAUCGUAAAACUCUGUUAGUAGGGAAGAACAAAUGUGUAAGUAACUAUGCACGUCUUGACGGUACCUAAUCAGAAAGCCACGGCUAACUACGUG
rnacentral:rRNA from 1 species